rnacentral:misc_RNA from 1 species
GAAAUGCGAUAAGUAAUGCGAAUUGCAGAAUCCAGUGAGUCAUCGAAUCUUUGAACGCACAUUGCGCCCCGUGGUAUUCCGCGGGGCAUGCCCGUUCGAGCGUCAUCAAUAUCCCUCGAGCCUGGCUCGGUCCUGGGGCACGCCUCCCCGGCGGCCCCCAACUCUAGGCGUGGCCCCCAGACACCCCCAGCGUAGUCACGCCUCGCUGGACGGGACCUGGGCGGCGGCGAGCAAAGCCCCUAUAGGUGUUUGACCUCGGAUCGGGUAGGAGUACCCGCUGAACUUAA